rnacentral:tRNA from 1 species
GAGGGUAUAGCUCAAGCAGUAGAGCAUAUGCUUAGUAUGCCCACGGUCCUGGGCUCAAUUCCCAGUACCUCCU